rnacentral:rRNA from 1 species
GGAUGCGAUCAUACCAGCACUAAAGCACCGGAUCCCAUCAGAACUCCGAAGUUAAGCGUGCUUGGGCGAGAGUAGUACUAGGAUGG